rnacentral:lncRNA from 1 species
GCUAAAUUUCUUCAUACUCAACUUUCAGAUUCUUUAAUCUCCAGCUCAGCUUCAACAAUUCAACGCUGUUCUUUCUGAAAAAGUACACAUCGUGCCUUCUCUACUUCGCUCUUGGAACAUAAUUUCUCAUGGCAGUGUUUAAGACCACUCUGUGGAGGUUAAUUUCUGGGACCUUAGGGAUAAUAUGCCUUUCGUUGAUGUCUACGUUGGGAAUUUUGUUGAAAAAUUCUUUUACUAAACUGAGUAUUGAGCCAGCAUUUACUCCAGGACCCAACAUAGAACUCCAGAAAGACUCUGACUGCUGUUCUUGCCAAGAAAAAUGGGUUGGGUACCGGUGCAACUGUUACUUCAUUUCCAGUGAACAGAAAACUUGGAACGAAAGUCGGCAUCUCUGUGCUUCUCAGAAAUCCAGCCUGCUUCAGCUUCAAAACACAGAUGAACUGGCAUGAGCACACCGCCUGGUUGUGGGAGAAUGGCUCUGCACUCUCCCAGUAUCUAUUUCCAUCAUUUGAAACUUUUAAUACAAAGAACUGCAUAGCGUAUAAUCCAAAUGGAAAUGCUUUAGAUGAAUCCUGUGAAGAUAAAAAUCGUUAUAUCUGUAAGCAACAGCUCAUUUAAAUGUUUCUUGGGGCAGAGAAGGUGGAGAGUAAAGACCCAACAUUACUAACAAUGAUACAGUUGCAUGUUAUAUUAUUACUAAUUGUCUACUUCUGGAGUCUAUAAAAUGUUUUUAAACAGUGUCAUAUACAAUUGUCAUGUAUGUGAAACAAUGUGUUUUAAAAUUGAUGAAAUUCGUUCACCU